AUGCAAGGAUGCAACAUCUUUAGAAUAACCAACAAGUCAACCCUCAGAGUUAAUAUCUGCUGUCAGCAAUUAAGCACUGCGAGCUGGAACACAAGCAAAGGCCCGAGGGAGCUGAGAUUUUUCAAAGCGGGCGGUGACAUCAGAACAAGGGGGGUGGAGGAGGAGGAGGCUGCUCUUAUGUGCAUGAAACAAAGUGGCAUUAAUGUAUUGCUUAUCUCUUCGUCAUUGUAUGAAGAUGCGCACCGCAUGGGUACAUACAUAGGCCUUGCGUUUGCACCAUUUAAAGACCUAAAAAUUGCAUAG
rnacentral:rRNA from 1 species